CAUCUUUGCAAUUUCCUGCAAGUUUAAAAGUUAUUCUUAGAACAGCCUUUAUAAGCUUUCAUACAUGAAGAAUAAACAUGCUGCAUCAUGGCGCAAAUCAUGCGGAGAGAAUGAGGAGUGGACCCAAACGCAGACAACUGAGAGAUAGGUGGAGGAUAACAAAUGCAAUCCUUUAUUUGGGCUGCACAACAACACUAUAAACAAAAAGCAAGGGGGAAUUGAGAACACUAACAAAAGCUAAACUGGAAACAGCUAAACUAAAGAACAUGAAGAACAAAGCAAAACUUGACAACCGAGAAUUAGGAACCUGAAGCAUGGAAACAUAGAGGAAGAAACACGGGAUGAAGAACAGAAUGAUGAACAGACAAUCUGACGAGGAACAGAGGUAAAUACACCCUAAAUAUACACAAGCAGGAAAACGAGAGGAUGGGGAACAGGUGAGAACACAGCUGGGAUUAAUCAGACAUGAUGAGAUGGGGAGGAGAGCAAAACUGAAGACACUGACACAAGACACAGACUGUCAAAGUAAAACAGGAAAUACAAGAGAGACACGAAGACGCAGAUUCGACACUUAGACAUGGAAACAUGAGACGAGGCGAGCACUGAACCAAACACACAUCUCUGUGGGUCAACAUGCUACAAUCCAAAAGAGCACCACUGCUGUGAAAGAAACCAAAAGCCUCACUGGUUCUGCACCUCAGGUCAAAGCAAGGCAACACCCACUGUAUAUAAUCCACACAUACAAGUCUGCUGUGAUGGAUGUAUGUCUACGUGGAAGCCUUGGAUGGAUCAGUGCUGUGGAGAGACACCAUAUGGCUCGGGACAACGCAGAGUUCUCUGUUGUAAUAACACCUUGUAUGAGGACAGAGACGAUGGAGAGGAAUGUUCUGGCACGGGUAUUCCUUACAAUCCGGCUAAAGGGACCAUAUGUUGUUCUCAGUUUCACGGCAGCCCAGGACAACACUGCUGUGGGACAGAAAUUUACCGGCCUGAUGUUGAGAUUUGCUGCAAUGGACACAGGACAUUUGCUGCUCAAGUGAGGACAAAGAGGUGAUCUACUCUGCCAAGACAGGGUUCAAAUGCUGUGGUCACCUCUAUUACAACACCGCCCUGUGGUCAUGCUGUGCUGGGAGGCUGAGAUCAAUCCAUGAACCAGGACAGGGUCGAAGAAAGAUGAUUAAUGAAUCCAAAGUCCUAUCUGUGAAUAAUCUGAACAAAACAGAUCUUUGCCAAAAAAUUUACAUUGGGACUGUGGAAAGUGUGUCUCAGCAGAGCGUUGUGUUUGGGAAUGUGCUGAAGGUUCAUGGUAUGAAGACCAAAGUGAAAGCUCUGCCUUUUCCUUACAUCCUGGAAACAGAUGAUCGCUGCAGCUCCCCUAAACUGAUUCUUGGGAAGACCUACUUCUUUAACAAAGUUAAUGUUUUCACUGACUUCAAUCAUGACUCUGUUCUUCAGUCACUCCAUGUCAUUAUUUGCAAAUGUUCACCUUAG
ensembl:lncRNA